AAGGACCUUUUGGAACAUCAUCGAAGAACUUAAAAUUAAAACUAACCAAAAGUUAAGGCUUAUAUGCGAUUAAACUUUCCCAAACAGCAACAAUAGCAACCCAGUGAAAUCUCACAAAGUGGGGUCUGGAGAGGGUAGAGUGUACGCAGACCUUAUCCCUACCUUGGGAGAUAGAGAGACUGUUUUUGGUAGACCCUCGGCACAAGAAUUAACAAGCUUUCCCAAACCCCUAUACAAAGAGAACAUGAAGCUUUACCUAAUAAAGAUGCAAGUGAGCUAUGGAGAAUGUUUUUUUGUUGAAAAAAAUGAGAAAAUUAAAUGAAAACAUAAAGCAUCAAAUGGCAAUUUCUCAUUUUUAUUUAUUAAGCAUGUCACUCUAAACAAUCCGAAUGUAAAUGAGAUAAAUUGAGUAAAAAAAGAAGGUUGUCAUUGGUUCUUGGUAAACCUGAAUCAAACAUUGAAAAUUCCAAUAUUGCCCGUGGUUGUCUACAGAAAGUUUGUCAUUGGUUUUCUUGGUAAACUUGAAUCAAAUGUACACAAAGAAGAUGCUGAAUGUACCAUCUAAAGUAAGUGAAAAUUCCAGUAUUGCCCUUGGUCGUUCUUCUCUUCACACUUCUAUAUAAUAGAAAAUUUGGGAACAAGUUUAAACUUUUCAUUUUACCUUUUAAUUAGAUGCUUUUAUAGCCACGCAGAUAUUAUGAGAACUUUAAGACCACAAGUCUCGAAUGUCUUCCUUGUUGAGUCAAAUCAUGGUAAUUGAAGCAAAGGGUAGUUUCUUUGCUUUUGUUAUUUCAAUACCUUUGGUCGUAUGCAGUUUAUCGUAGUACAAUGCUUUUAUUUUAGUAGAAACGAACAAAAAAGGUCAAUACUUAUAAUUUCGUAUAAAUAUUUUGCAAUUUUUAAGUUUGUUCUAAUUGACAAAUUUUAAUAAACACAUAUGAAUAGCAGCUAAUAGAGUAAUAAAUGAUUUAUAUUUAUUAAGAUAGUCCUGUCUAAUUAAUAUUGGCAAGCUAUAAUCAAAGUAUGAAUAUUAGUAAAUUGGGGCACAGUUAAUUUGUAUUUUGAACAAUAACACAACAACAACAACAACAACCCAGUGAAAUCACACAACGUGGGGUCUGGGGAGGGUAGAGUGUACGCAGACCUUACUCCUACCAAGGUAGGACGGUUGUUUCCGAAAGACCCUGGGCUCAAUAAAAAGCAUAAAAAGAGGUCAGAUAAGGCUAAGAAAUUCAAAGCGAUAUGGAAAUGCAAAUAACGAAAGCGACACGGAUAAAAUAGAAUAAUCAAAAAAUUAUCUUGCGAUAAUGCGCCUACUAAUAAGGAAGGAUAACGAGACUAUCUACUAGCCUUCUACCCUAAUGUGGGUCCUCCAAACCCUCCUAUCUAAGGUCAUGUCCUCGAUAA